ACGUGUUUGCGGGGCCUUCUAACUUCUAUUUUCUAUCAAGCCUUCGUCGUCUCCUUCGCGCUUGCGGAAUCCGAUUCCCCCAAGCCCUCGACGACGACGGCCACGGCUGCGGCAACGGCAGUGCCGACACCCUCCUUCCUCUUCUUCAAGACCUCGCGGAUUGCUUGAAGCUUCCCCCGGAUUACUUUGCAAGGCUCCCGGGGGAUCUCCGGCUCGAUGUAAGUAUCAUUCCUGCGAUCUGGUUUUCGAUUUGAGCUCGACUGGUCGGAUCGAUUCUUGGUUUCUGAUUUAGGGUGUUUUCCCUGCGUUCUUCUCGAGUGAUGGUGAAGCUAAAUGAUGCCGCAUUUGAUCUUUCUAGCGGGUCCGUGUGGGAUGAGUUUAGUAAUUCUCCUCUUUAAUUUUAUCUGUGGUCACGAAGUGGGGGAAAUGCUCUUAAAUCUUUCUCGGGCAUGGGAACAGGCUGAUACUUCUACUUCAAAUAUCCCAUCUCUAGAGAUGUCUUUGACGGACAAUGUCAAACCAGGCAAGGGUGAAAUAGCUAAUAACCUGAAUCAGCAAUUGCAGUGUGGAGUCACUAUAUGCUUCCAUUUCCUUCCUUUCAUGGUGUAGCACUUGGCAAACGUUUGGUAUCUGCUGGAAGAAGAUUUGAGGCUAUGGGAAUGUAUCGUCAAGGAGAGCCACAAAGGUUUGAUGUCAUCAUCAUUAACAUCUUGGAGUAGAAAGUUAUCAGUCCUUUGCAACAUUGAAAGAAACUUGGCUCACCACCUAAUGGCAGAUUGCCAAAGCUAUGAUCAAAACUGGGAAUCUGCUGUCUAGAGGUCCUGUUAUAGACACUGAUGAAAGGCCUAAGAAGGAAAGCAGGAUGUUGAAGUUUGGAGAAUUACAAGUGGAGUUGACUCCAGGGAAAGCUUAUGGUGGUGCUGCUAUUGGUCUUGUUUUUGGAUUACUCUCUUGGGAACCAAGUCAAGGCAUCCAAAGCAUUCCAGAAAGUUCAUUGCAGUAUGCACAUUAUAAUGCACUGCCCCUAGCAAAGUCACUAAGAGGAGCUCUUCUUGUACUUGGUUACUCAUCUACAGUCUUAUCUGCUUUUGCUUCAAUGGGACUUGUGUUGUUAGGAAGACAACUGAGCUCUGAAAGCAGCUCAAAGAAACUGUAAAUAAUGAGUUUCAUGAAUGCCAGUUUGCUAUUUUAAAGCUACAGAUGUACUUUGUUGAAGUGCAGGGGGAAAUUUUUCAAA